CACGUAGGGGGCAAGCGUUAUCCGGAUUUACUGGGUGUAAAGGGAGCGUAGGUGGCAUGGUAAGCCAGAAGUGAAAACCCGGGGCUCAACCCCGCGGAUUGCUUUUGGAACUAUCAGGCUGGAGUGCUGGAGGGGUAAGCGGAAUUCCUAGUGUAGCGGUGAAAUGCGUAGAUAUUAGGAGGAACACCGGUGGCGAAGGCGGCUUACUGGACAGAAACUGACACUGAGGCUCGAAAGCGUGGGGAGCAAACAGG
rnacentral:rRNA from 1 species